GACGAACGCUGGCGGCGUGCUUAACACAUGCAAGUCGAACGGAAAGGCUCCAGCUUGCUGGAGUACUCGAGUGGCGAACGGGUGAGUAACACGUGGGUAAUCUGCCCUGCACUCUGGGAUAGGCCUGGGAAACUGGGUCUAAUACUGGAUAUGACCUUUCUCCUUAUGGGGUUUGGUGGAAAGUUUUUCGGUGUAGGAUGAGCCCGCGGCCUAUCAGCUUGUUGGUGGGGUGAUGGCCUACCAAGGCGACGACGGGUAGCCGGCCUGAGAGGGUGAUCGGCCACAUUGGGACUGAGAUACGGCCCAGACUCCUACGGGAGGCAGCAGUGGGGAAUAUUGCACAAUGGGCGGAAGCCUGAUGCAGCGACACCGCGUGAGGGAUGACGGCCUUCGGGUUGUAAACCUCUUUCAGCAGGGACGAAGCGUAAGUGACGGUACCUGCAGAAGAAGCACCGGCUAACUAUGUG
rnacentral:rRNA from 1 species